UGAGCAACCUGCCCUUGGCUUUGGGAUAACCCUCGGAAACGGGGGCUAAUACCGAAUGUUCACUGCUGGACGCAUGUUUGGUGGUGGAAAGUUUUUCGGCUGGGGAUGGGCACGCGGCCUAUCAGCUUGUUGGUGGGGUGAUGGCCUACCAAGGCGACGACGGGUAGCUGGUCUGAGAGGAUGGCCAGCCACAUUGGGACUGAGACACGGCCCAGACUCCUACGGGAGGCA
rnacentral:rRNA from 1 species